CGGGUGAGGAACACGUGGAUAACCUACCUAUAAGACUGGGAUAACUUCGGGAAACCGGAGCUAAUACCGGAUAAUAUUUUGAACCGCAUGGUUCAAAAGUGAAAGACGGUCUUGCUGUCACUUAUAGAUGGAUCCGCGCUGCAUUAGCUAGUUGGUAAGGUAACGGCUUACCAAGGCAACGAUGCAUAGCCGACCUGAGAGGGUGAUCGGCCACACUGGAACUGAGACACGGUCCAGACUCCUACGGGAGGCAGCAGUAGGGAAUCUUCCGCAAUGGGCGAAAGCCUGACGGAGCAACGCCGCGUGAGUGAUGAAGGUCUUCGGAUCGUAAAACUCUGUUAUUAGGGAAGAACAUAUGUGUAAGUAACUGUGCACAUCUUGACGGUACCUAAUCAGAAAGCCACGGCUAACUACGUGCCAGCAGCCGCGGUAAUACGUAGGUGGCAAGCGUUAUCCGGAAUUAUUGGGCGUAAAGCGCGCGUAGGCGGUUUUUUAAGUCUGAUGUGAAAGCCCACGGCUCAACCGUGGAGGGUCAUUGGAAACUGGAAAACUUGAGUGCAGAAGAGGAAAGUGGAAUUCCAUGUGUAGCGGUGAAAUGCGCAGAGAUAUGGAGGAACACCAGUGGCGAAGGCGACUUUCUGGUCUGUAACUGACGCUGAUGUGCGAAAGCGUGGGGAUCAAACAGGAUUAGAUACCCUGGUAGUCCACGCCGUAAACGAUGAGUGCUAAGUGUUAGGGGGUUUCCGCCCCUUAGUGCUGCAGCUAACGCAUUAAGCACUCCGCCUGGGGAGUACGACCGCAAGGUUGAAACUCAAAGGAAUUGACGGGGACCCGCACAAGCGGUGGAGCAUGUGGUUUAAUUCGAAGCAACGCGAAGAACCUUACCAAAUCUUGACAUCCUUUGACAACUCUAGAGAUAGAGCCUUCCCCUUCGGGGGACAAAGUGACAGGUGGUGCAUGGUUGUCGUCAGCUCGUGUCGUGAGAUGUUGGGUUAAGUCCCGCAACGAGCGCAACCCUUAAGCUUAGUUGCCAUCAUUAAGUUGGGCACUCUAAGUUGACUGCCGGUGACAACCCGGAGGAAGGUGGGGAUGACGUCAAAUCAUCAUGCCCCUUAUGAUUUGGGCUACACACGUGCUACAAUGGACAAUACAAAGGGCAGCGAAACCGCGAGGUCAAGCAAAUCCCAUAAAGUUGUUCUCAGUUCGGAUUGUAGUCUGCAACUCGACUACAUGAAGCUGGAAUCGCUAGUAAUCGUAGAUCAGCAUGCUACGGUGAAUACGUUCCCGGGUCUUGUACACCCCGCCCGUCACCCCACGAGAGUUUGUAACACCCGAAGCCGGUGGAGUAACCUUUUAGGAGCUAGCCGUCGAAGGUGGGACAAAUGAUUGGGGGGAAGGCGUAACAAGGUAGCCGUAUCGGAAGGUGCGGCUGGAUCACCU
rnacentral:rRNA from 1 species